rnacentral:rRNA from 1 species
UCCUACGGGAGGCAGCAGUGGGGAAUCUUGGACAAUGGGCGCAAGCCUGAUCCAGCAAUGCCGCGUGGGUGAAGACGGCCUGCGGGUUGUAAAGCCCUUUUCGCGGGGACGAAAGCCCUGGGUUGAACAGGCUCAGGGGAUGACGGUACCGGCGGAAGAAGCACCGGCCAACUCCGUGCCAGCAGCCGCGGUAAGACGGAGGGUGCGAGCGUUAAUCGGAAUUACUGGGCGUAAAGCGCACGUAGGCGGUCAUGUCAGUCCGUUGUGAAAGCCCCGGGCUUAACCUGGGAAUAGCAAGGGCGACGGCAUGACUGGAGUGUAACAGAGGACCGUGGAAUUCCCGGUGUAGCGGUGAAAUGCGUAGAGAUCGGGAAGAACACCGAUGGCGAAGGCAGCGGUCUGGGUUAACACUGACGCUGAGGGGCGACAGCGUGGGGAGCAAACAGGAUUAGAUACCCGCGUAGUCCC